rnacentral:rRNA from 1 species
CCUACGGGUGGCAGCAGUGGGGAAUAUUGCACAAUGGGGGAAACCCUGAUGCAGCGACGCCGCGUGAGUGAAGAAGUCUCUCGGUACGUAAAGCUCUAUCAGCAGGGAAGAAAAUGACGGUACCUGACUAUGAAGCCCCGGCGAACUACGUCCCAGCAGCCGCGGUACUACGUAGGGGGCAACCGUUAUCCGGAUUUACUGGGUGUAAAGGGCGUGUAGCCGGGCUGACAAGUCAGAUGUGAAAUCCCGCGGCUCAACCACGGAACUGCAUUUGAAACUGUCGGUCUUGAGUAUAGGAGAGGCAGGCGGAAUUCCUGGUGUAGCGGUGAAAUGCUUAGAUAUUAGGAGGAACACCGAUGGCGAAGGCGGCCUGCUAAACGGCAACUGACGGUGAGGCGCGAAAGCGUGGGGAGCAAACAGGAUUAGAUACCCGAGUAGUC